rnacentral:rRNA from 1 species
GACGAACGCUGGCGGCGUGCUUAACACAUGCAAGUCGAACGGAAAGGCCCCUUUGGGGGUACUCGAGUGGCGAACGGGUGAGUAACACGUGAGUAACCUGCCCUUGACUUCGGGAUAACUUCAGGAAACUGGGGCUAAUACCGGAAACGAAUCCUGGCUGCAUGGUGGGGGUGGGAAAGCUUCGGCGGUUUUGGUUGGACUCGCGGUAUAUCAGCUUGUUGGUGGGGUAGUGGCUUACCAAGGCUUUGACUGGUAGCCGGCCUGAGAGGGCGAACGGCCACAUUGGGACUGAGUGACGGCCCAGACUCCUACGGGAGGCAGCAGGGGGGAAUAUUGCACAAUGGGCGGGAGCCUGACGCAGCAACGCCGCGUGCGUGAUGACGGCCUUCGGGUUGUAAGCCGCUUUCAGCAGGGGCGAAGCUUGUGGUGACGGUACCUGCAGAAGAAGCACCGGCUAACUACGUG